GUUAACAACGACUAAAGGUUACCUUGACUAUUGAAAAGUAGUUUAAAAUAGCUUCUUCGAAGGAAGAAAAUAUCUACGUUUCAGUAACGGAAACGGGGAGGCAGCCAUUUUGAAUUUUCACUUUUGAUCGUAUUGAACGCUGAAAAUCGCAAUUUUGUUUAAAAUCGAGUGAAUUUUUGCCAAAAUGGGUUUGUUAGGAUUGUAUUUGAACACCUCGAUGCAAUUUUCACUUGAUAAACCAACUUUUGCCGUAGUUGUAUCAAAACAAAAUAAAAGUGAAAUUGCACAAAAUCAAUAUCGGGUCAACGUCCUCCUGCUGCGUUCAACCCGGAGAAUCCCGGAACUCCCGGAAAUGCCUAACUAGGAAUUUGCGCCUUUAACGUCACUGCAAUCGCUAGGUAGAAACAAUUCCCAACGCAUGUCUCAUCGUAACGGUACAAAAAUCCAGCGUGUGUGUUUAUCUAAGAGGAGUAUUCAACAAGUUGUAUGUGUGGGCAGGUGAUACCAUUUAAACGGAACUUGAUUUCUCAAGGCUAUAAGGGUCGGGAUUGUCAGAACCUUCAUCAAUUUCAGGAUUGUAAGCACCGCUAGUUAACCUCCUUUUAAGCUCCGCUAUCUCACCCCUUUUAAUAAAGUGCUUAUGCAUAUCAAAAAAAAGCUCUCGAGCAUGCAGGUGGUUCACAGAAAAAAAAAACACGAUAAAAAGCGGCAUUUACUUUGAAUAACACAAUAGUUGGAGUAAUCGUCAAAACAAACUUCUUGUUGUUAACACCCAAAAUUAUUUCAAUUAAGCUUUCUUGAGCAGGAGGGCUGAACCUGCUGUACGCGUAAUUACAGUAAUAACCAACUGUUGACAAGAGSAGGAAGAUUAUUAUCUUAAUUAUUGGUAACGGAGUUUUGAGCACUAAAUUGAAUUUUGUUUUAAAAUACGAAAAUCCACAAAACUAAUUAGCUAUUCUUGAACAUUUUAUGGCCGUUUUAUGUUUGGUGUAUUUAAAAGCUCCAAUUUCUUCUAUCUUAUGCUCAAAAUAUACAAGACUGGAAGAACCCUAAUUUUGUUAAAUACGAAAAGUUUAUUCAAAAUGAAAUAUUUACAUAAUUAUGCCACUAAUGUAUGAAUAAACUUUGUUUUGUUUUUGGAAGGUGACUAAGUUUAAAAGACAAUCUCCUUCUCAACUUGAUUUAUUAAGAAAGCUCACUUCUACUUAAUUAAAGUUUUUGUAAACUACACAUAUUUGUCUUUUAUCUUUCAUUUUGAGCUUGAGGAAAGUGGAUAUUAUGCGAAAUAGGCGUAAUAAAACUCAAAGCCACAACUGAGUUGUUGGAAAACUGAAUGGGAUAUAGUGUAUUGUUAGAGGGUCCAAAGUAAUGAUUGUUAUUGCUGGUACAGGUAGUUGGUACCAGGAAAGGAAAGUUUAGUCAAAAUUGCGAAAAUAUUCCAAUCUGAAUUUUGCUUUGAAUAAAUAACAAAAGUGGCCGUGACCAUGAAUUCUAUCUGAAUCAAUAAUUAUUAUUUUAGUAUCUUAUAAAAUAAUGAUUCAGGUUAGCCUUGRCCUUGGUUGGAGCAUGGGUUUGUCAAUGUCAGUUCAAAAACUUGCUUAAAGAUUUUGCAAAACAAAUCUGUUAUAAAUAGAAUAAAGUAGACUGAAUUUGUAAGAGCGGGAAAUGCAAAUCGAAUCAAAUGGUUUCCGUUUUCGAAAAUUAUUGAAUCAGUAAAUYGAUUUAUAAACAACAUAGGUUAAUAAUAAGUUGUUGCCACCAUGGUGAGCACGUAAAGGAUUGAGUUCGUUGAACUGCCCUAGUGUCCUACUAAUCCGAAAGUAAGGUAAAGCAUAGAAAAAUCGAGAAGUAUCGUUACAAGUCGGGCGGCCAUCAUCAAUUUCUUUAUAAGAAAUGUUAAGUAUGAUAUGAUAACACAAGGACCGGCUCCAUUAAUUUUUUUCACCUCAGCAUGCUUUUUUGACAGUUAUCACCACGUAACAUUUCUUCGAAAACUUUCUUCAGGUGUUGUUUGUGCUUAUGAUAACUUUGUUUUGGUGAUUCUGAGAGGUUCUAGAUUACAAGGGUUGAAUCACUGAACUAAUUAGUUUCCCCAAUUUUGGUUCGCCCAAUGUGAAUUUAUUUAAUGGUAGGUUUUGCGACCUAAUCAAUUUAAUUACAAAAUACGCCAAUAAAAUGCAAUCUGUCGUUGUACAAAAACAGAUUGCAAAAUAAAGAACGAGUUAUCAACAUUAAAGGAACUGGUUCCUUAUAAUGCAGUUUUCGACCUUAUACAAGAAGCACACAAGGUUGAGGUUAACAAAAUUUUUAAGUUCGACGAACUUAACAAAUGUUUCACAUGCUGAAUUUUGAUUCCACGUCGAAUUUUGUUUUGUUUUUGAAAUUGAAUUUUGGAGGAAAGACAAGUUUUUAUGUAAAUUCUUGAAAAAAUGGCCAGUGCAUUUUUUGCCAAAGGGUUACGUGUGAUAAACAACAGGUCAACGACUAUUUUCAUGUGUAAAUAUUUUGAAAUGCACAUUCCUUCGCGAGCGAAAAAUCCCAACUGGUUCGCCGAACCGGAAAAACUCGGAAACUCGAGAUAUACAAUCUCCAGAUGAGAAGCAUUGAGAGAAAAAUUUCGGGCAAUUUUUAAUUAAAUGUGAUUGUUAAGCAUCCUACUUGGCACCCACGUACUUGUUAACAAAACAAACUCCUCCAAUUUUUACACGCAAAGGAAUAUUGUUUAAACAAACAGCAAGUAACAGCGUAAUUACAAAACGCAAUAUCCAUGUGAAUGUCUUGUCUUAAGGUCAAUAACUUCGCCAUAACUGCCAAAAUUUCACGCUUUGUCUGUUAUUACAUAAUUCAAUUAAUCAUAAAUAAAAACAAUUUUUCCUUGAGCACCAGACACAGGUGUUUGAUAAUUACAUUCGUGGAAAGAUGAUUGAGCACAUAAAAAAAUGUUUGAUUGAUUGACUUUUGGACACCUAGUGGUCUUGGCUUACCUUCGUGGCAGUCUUUCGGAGGAAUAUAUAAUAUCCAAGGUAUCCAGAAAAUUUUGGCAGCGUCACUAAACUCUAUAUCCAAGAAAAGUCACACACACUCACACACUCAGAGUUCGAGAUCUCGGAUCAGUCUUUAUCAAAAAAAGCACAAAGUGGUCCGAACGGAAUUUGCUAUCACCAUAUCCAAUAAAAAUUUUGACGCGAAUCCUCUCGAAGCACUUAAUCCGGACUCCGGGGGUUAUUGAAGAGUCUCGACCGGUUGUCAAAGCCGCAUGUCUAGGGCAAUGUCAAACACACCAUUACGUUCUUCAACCUUCGCAGUCUUUUAGAAACUAAACACCGAUCCGAGUUAAACUUGACCGUGAUGGUUUUCACACAGCGCCAAGUGGUGAUAGUUGGAAGCUCCAACUAACGGGAACUUCGGUCAACAACCUCCAAAUUCUGAGCGGCCUCAAGACGUUGCCAGCGACUUCAAUGCUGCAGCUCACGUUUGAGGAAGUUCUUUUUGUCGUUAUUUUAGGGUUCAUGGACCAAGCGCUCUCAUCAGCCCAAGACGCCGCUCACUUCGAAAAACCCGACCCGGAGUUUCGAUUCCGAAGGAUGAUUGCCUUUCUUUUGCUCGAAAUUCUUCGGAAUCAGAACGGGAUGACUAUUAAAUCGAGUAAAAGUUCUACUUAUGUGGAGGAGGUCUUUGACUCAUCCGCGUCAUUUUGUUUAUGGUAAAUGAUAUAACCUUAUUUCACGCAAGUUCAACUGACGAAUUUAGGUAUUCAGUGAAAUGCCUUUCUCUUUGCGGCUUUACCAGAGGAUUCUAGAGAAUUUUGACAAGUGAUUUAUGACUCAAUUUCUUUGCAAAAUUAUUACAAAACGAAAGAAAGCACAAUCGAAUUUUGAGUUUUCGCGUCUGAUCGACUAUUGAAGUCUCCAAAGUAUUUCAGUUAUUAUCAAACGAACGCUUACCAAUUUCAUCACUGAGUCUAUUAAAAAUAUGAUCACAAUUUUACCUAAUUACUAGAAAUUUGUUAAUUCGCUUAAAUACCUUGCCCACUAGGGCCCUAUUAAGAUAUAGUUUCACUUACGGUCAAAAGGACUCAAGCUAAUUCCCUGUGGUUUUAAUUUAUGACCACUUCUUAACAAAUUUCACCACCGUAGUUACAAGUCUAAACAAAUUUUCUCUAGGUCAACCGGUAAUUUGUAUUGUGUUUCAAAAUUUGUGACAGUCCUUUUGAAAUUGGGGGGUAGUAUCAGUCCUAAUGUAAAACCCGAGGGUGGUUAGCCAUAAACCGCAACAAUGCCACUUUUCCAAUGAUUUAUGGCUUACAACACCUACAGGGGGUAGAAAGUUCGGGUCCGGAAAUUUUCCUAAUUACUUUCUUCGGUUUAAAAGAGAUUCACCGUUACCCCAUUUUUUUCUUGCGGGACUGAGUUUAGAGAACGUCAAUUAUACAACAUUUGCCAUUGUCAAAGAAGAUUAGUUCCGAACUCUUUGCUCCGGUUUAGCUACCCUGGAAAUCAAGGCGAAAUAGAAGGGUGAUUUUUAUAAAGUCGCGCCAAAGUAUGUCUUCGUUAACAAACGAAACGAAAAUUUAAUCGAGUGUGCUCUGUUCUACAUCGUGAAGAGUUCAACAAACUCCGGUCGUAACACAUUCUGUUUAGCACCUAUACGAGUCUUCAUUUUGCACUGAAACAAGGUCUAAAAAUCAGCGAACUGAAGCAACGUCAAUAUUGACGAGUUCAGGUUUUCCCAACAGUCAUUUGGAUUUGAACUUUAGCAUUUAAUAUAGAAAUGACUCAUUUGUGUCAAACAUUGCUAGAAAUAAAUGAUAUAAUAUGUUUCUUGACGUUUGAUCGGACAAUGUAGGGUGGAAUGCAACACCUACAAAGAUUUGAAAGUUGCUGUUGGAACGCAGUCUUCACUUACGUUAGGUUAGGUCCGCUGACGUCACAAGUCAAUGAACUUGAUUCUUGACUUUGUUUUAGGCGAAAAAAGUACUUAGUUAUACUUUAGUUAAGUGCUAAAGUCGCUAUAAAUGUAAUGAUAACACUUGAAAGAACCUGAAGAGUAAUGAUAGGCUGUAAUAUCUUGUUUUUCCUCCCUUUCUUUAAUGAAGUAACAUUAUGUCAAACAUAGAACUAAUGAAUUUUAACACUGGAUAUAAUUAUUGUUCAUUGUUGCGAGAAAUCUAAUUUGAGGCCCUGAACUUGGACGCUUAAUGGUUCUCCUAAUGGCUGUGAAACGUGUCGAAAUUUCCUGUUGUUGGUGAUAAUUUAAGAGGUGUUAAUUGGAUUCGAAAAAUGAUCGUAAAUUUCGCGAAUUUGUUUUGUUCAUCUAUAGCAAAAUAAUCUUGCCACUGGGGCAAUAAUCUGUUUAAGACGCCAAGUUCUCAAGGCCAGCGCUUAUCCAAGGUUGCAAACAAGUUCAAAUUUUUGCGAAGAGUAAAACCGCAUUUAGUUCGAAAUUCAGAGAUUCAAUUCCGUUUCGUUCCGAUUUUACUUUAACACACCUUACGGUUUACCUUUCGCCCUCAAUUCGCGGCAUUUUUACACCUACUGCCGCAGCCAAGCCAAGACCUCCUUCGAGGAACUUCUUUGUCUGUGCUACUAGUGGAAGCAAGCAACGUUUGCGAUUUCUCGACGGUUGCGAAGGAUAGCGUAACACAUUACGGGAAGAGGUUGACGACCGUGUUUUCGCAUGGCUAUGUCGUGGGUUGUCUUGGACUGGCCAAAUUUGACGGACGCCGCUGGGAAUAUGAGGCAGUGGGAUAGAUUCUUGGCGAGCUUCUCCAGCAGGGGUUCCAUUCGCCUACGUCUACUGGAGAUUUAGAUCACUAGGGAAGCGCGAAAAUGAUUCCAAUUUGUUAGUAGAGAGUAAAGGCUUUGCCUUAAGAGCAAUGAAAAUGUCCCCAUUCAUGGCGACGCGUCCGUGUCAUCGUUAUUCACUCACUCACUUCCUCCAAGUUGGCCUUCACUCGGAACUAUGAUAAUUGUUGCCAAAGGUUAGUAACCGGUGGCAUCAUGCAGCCAGAUUCAGCUUCGAUUAUCUUCAAGAAAGAUUUAUAGAAAAAAAGUGGACAAUUAAAAUCGAAGGUUACUAAUUUUGGUAAGCAAGGGCAUUUGAUAGAACCAUGACAUCAGCAUGACUGAAAUGAGUCGAAGUUUUGGAUCCUUGAUGAUCCCACAAAGAAGAAUUCAACAAUUUGGUUUCUUGUCUGUUUGUGAUAAGUUUUUCUUCCGCAUUGUUUUGGUCAUAUGUGAAGGCUAACAUAGUUACUAAAUCUUAAAAUUGUUAAUGAGAUGAAUAAUGGGAAAAAACGCUUUUGAAUUUUUUUUUAGGACUAAUAAUACGAAUUUAUUUCAUUGCCAAAAUGACUAUGAAAGCACUUAUUGAAAUAUACCUACAAAUAUUUAUUUUUAAUGUGUUGUAAUGUAAUGUGUAAUUUUUUGAUUACAGUAUUCUAUUUUAUGCUUUUGUAUUAUGUAAACCACUAGGGACUAUCACUUUUCUUCUUUACAACAAAGGCACUACUAUUACAGACAUGGUUGAAGCAAGAUUUAUUUGAGAGUAUUAUUUACAAAAGCGUUAGUCACUACAUGUGUGUAUGUAUACUGAGUAACUUCCAUAAAUAUAAAAUUUAUUCAUACUUGCGAGGAUUGUUAUUAUUAAGAAAAUAUCUAAAAAAUAAUCUUAAUAAAUUAUUGGGAUAUUAAUGUUGUUUAAAUAUUGUUAUAUACGUAAUCAUGUAUUUUGUAAUAUUUUUUUAAAGCAUCGUUUACGAACAACUGGGUUGAAGCAGAUAGACUCACAGUAUGUAUGAGAAAAAACAUGCAUAGAUAAGAUACUAACCUUAUGUUUUCAGUAAUUUUAGUUAUUUUAGGUACAUUGAAAAAAGCUUAGAGAUAACAACUGGUCAUUAAUUAAUCUUGAUAAAAGUACAAAGGAGAAAGUUGGAUGUAACAGGAUAGUUUACAAGAACAUGAAAAAUCUUGCCUUCUUAGAAUGUUGUUUAAAUCAAUCUUCCUUUUUUUGGCUUAUAGUCUUCCCGAGAACGUUUCGGAUGGUGUAUGGAGCUACAAAAACACACUCUAAUAAGAGUUUUUGUGGAAAUUGUGUUAUAUUACACGCAAGUCACGCAAGUAAAUGUUUACCCCAAGAGUACCUAGGGCGAGUGGAGUACUUGUAAUGAUUUAUAAGUUUAUAACAAAUAACACACAAAACCUCUUAAUUGCUAUUUAAAAUGCAUCUUUGUAUUUUUUUAAUUUUUAACAUUUUAAACUGUCUUCAA